UGAUAUGGUCUGGUUAACACAUUGUCUGGU
rnacentral:piRNA from 1 species